CUUUGGGAUACGACUAACCAGUCAUCAUCCCCAUCUCAAUCGCGUGUUGCCUCUGCUCUCCACCCACUCCGCCGUACACUAGCUAGCAAUCGCGUGUUGCCUCUCCCUCUUCACCCACUCCGUUGUACCCUUCGUCAUCUUCUUUUUCAUUGAUUUCUCUUCUGAAAUCAACCCUAGCUAGCUUUCCUCUUCUCCAAAUCCAUCCAAACCCUAGAUGUGUUUCCGUGUUUAAGUUGCUCUUUCCAUCCACUUCUCACCAAUCCAUCAACUUCGUCUUUUCGAUUGAUCUGAUGUCGCCUUUGUUUUCGUCGUCGGUUGCUGUUCAUCCGUCAUUCCCUCUUCUCAGUUGCCGAACUUUUUGGGAAAAAUGCAUCUUCGAAGGUUGAUUUUGUGAUCAAAUGAUUCCAUUCAAAGCUUAUGCCCUGGAAGAGAAGCAUGAAAGAUCAGAGCAAGGUUGAUCAGAAAGGGAGCUCCAUAGUUGCAAAUUGGUGUAUUUGGCUGUGUAGGAAAUGAUCAUUGCUUCUGUAUCUAGGUGAUUUUGUGUAGAAAAACCCUUUGUAUCUUGCUGUUAUCAUAGGAGAUGCUAAGUUAUUGUGGCAUAACAAGCCUUGGUCAAUGAAUAUGUUCCUAGACGUUGUGGUCAUGAAAUGCACAGGUUAUUUUAUUGGCUUUGGUUACCCUUGGUGUUGGCUUAUGUUAUUGAAUUCUUGGGUCCUAGCUUAUGCUGUCAAGAAAGCUUUUUGGCCAAAUCAGAAUGGAAAUGACAGAUUUUUUGUAAAGCCAAUUUGUUUGUGAUCAUGUGUUUUUGGGAUUCUAUUCUAUCUAAUAGCCCACUAGAGAAGAUAUGUUAUAGGCUCAGCAGGAAUGAGAAAAAUCUAAGGCUAAACAAGGAGGAAAUUAAAGUGGAACCACUGCUAAUCUAUGUGUUUAUAUAAGUCUAAGGUGAGUUUAUUUUGUAAGAUUGUUUUUUAAUCUCAUUUUUCAGCUGUUCAAAAGAUAGGACCUUUCCUAAAGGUGAGGUUGUUCUGCUGCUUCAUUUGUUUUAUGAUGUUUUUCAUGUGACUGGUUUCACUUUAAAUCAAAGAAAGGAUACACUUGAAGCUGAAUUUAUUUUCCCCUGCAAAAUUCUCAUCGUUUUCUUCUUGAUUAAACUCUAAAAUCCCAUUUCACUUAGAGAAAUUUUGAUUUUUCAUUCUUGAUUUUUCAAACAAUGCAAGAACAGUAUUAUUGACUCUGUUGUGAUGGGAAGUUAACUUUUAUACUUCAGAAGUACAAGGAGGGGAAGAUGGCACAAGUUGUCCCGGCAUCUCCACUCUGUUUUCCUAUUGGUAUGUUUGUCUAUUUCUUAGUCAUACUAACAAGAGUUAGUUGGUGUUAGUGUGUAAGACAAACUGCUUUUUAUGUUUUGUAGUUGAAAGUGUUGUUAUUUCCCUGUUGCAUUAUUUUUUCCAAAUGUGUGUAAGAUGAGUAAUUGACUGAUUAGGAGAAGUUACACCUCAUGUCAUGUACCAUUUUAUUCCAUGUCUAUAUAAGAUCAUUACUUUAGAGAACGUGAAUACACUUGCUAAACAUUUUGUUUGCCCACUAUGGUUACUAAUAUUUUGAGGUUUAACUUUUAUUGGUUGAAAAUAUUAAAAAAAGGGAGGGAAGAAGGGUAGGUAGGAAAAAAUUAUGUAAAGACUGAUUUUAGGUUAGUCAUUCCUAAGGGUUGACUUCUCUCACUUGAAGAAAGUGUUAUUUGCUGGUCUUUGCUGCUUUUCACAUUGAAAUUAGAAUGAGUAAAGUUUUAAUUGGUGUUUACCAAUUUAUUAAUUUUCAUCCACUUGAUUUUAAAUUAUAUUUAGUUCUUUUACUUCACCUUCUAUGUACUUGAUCAUUUUAUUUUUCUUAAUGGGCAAUUAUGAUUUAUGAUUUAUUUGUUUACUUCAAGUUCUGAAUUGUUCAAAUUGAAUAUAUUUGGAUCUUAGCUUUUAUUCCUUAUAGCUGUAUAUGACUCUAAAAUCUAUUUCUAAUGGAUAUCUCAACUUAACAACUCCACUAUUUGGAGAAGCGGUGACUUCUCCUUGGUUGCUGCUCGGUACACAGGGCAUCUCCUUAACAACCUAUAGUAUUAAUCAAACUCCCCAAAAGUCAAUCUCAUCUAGCUAACUGCUUUCCUUUAUGCUUGACUGUGUUUUUUUGGGUUCCAAAGUUACCAGGUUAUACAGGUUGAGCUAACAGAUGACAGGAGAUACCUCAAAAAGGUUGGAAGAGGAAAUAUGCUAAAGUUUGCAAAGUAGAGCUUUUGGUGGUGACUAAACGUCGAGGUGUCGAUCAUGAAUUCAGGAACCGGAAGAAUUGAUUUUUAGAAUUAUACAUCUGUUCAAUAUAUUCAUAAGGAUGGAGGGAUUAUUGUUCACAAGAUUUGGUAAAUGUAACAGGGAUGUGGGAAGUGUCCUUAUAUUCAUGAUCCCUAAAAUAUUUCGGUCAUUCUUGAGUCGACACCGAAUACUUCUUAUUUUUUUGCAAGCUUAUGCUCAAGCGAAAUUUGCCCAUAUAGACAUGUCUAUUUGAAGCAAUGUGAAUCUGUGUUCAGCGAACCAAAUUAAUGAAAGAUUCACCACCCCAUAACCCAAGUAAGGGAAAGACAAGAAAGAGAUAUUGAGAUCAGAUGUUUCUAAACCUGGGAUGAUGAUGGCUUCUUCAAGUCAACAGAAUCUUGACCUUGAGAAAUAACUUCUAUACUAUAUCAGUCUCGGUGUGAAUGAAUAAGUUGCAGACAUGGUGAUUCAUUAAUUUGAGCAAUUAACAUUUUGUGACAAUGGUUCUUUAGAUUUAUACUUGGAUACUCUUGAUGAACUUAAAACCAGCUCUUAAGGUUGGAUGCAUUUGACUACAACACUUAAGGGCACUCUUGGCUACCUUGUACCAGAUCAUGCUAUAUAUGAUCCUUAUAUGUGUAUGAUUUUUCAAGCUAUGUAUCUAAGCUCUAUAUCCUCUAAAUAUUUUUUAAGCAUAGAUUGUUCAAUACAUUUGUUAGACACCUUGAGUAUGUUUGGAUUCAAAUCCAAAAGUUUCCUGCAAGCUUCUUGAAAUAGAUUUGAUUUUCGUAUACUUUUC